GACGAACGCUGGCGGCGUGCUUAACACAUGCAAGUCGAGCGGUAAGGCUCCUUCGGGAGUACACGAGCGGCGCACGGGUGAGUAACACGUGAGUAAUCUGCCCUUCACUUCGGGAUAACCACCGGAAACGGUGGCUAAUACCGAAUACGACCAGUCUUCGCAUGAGGUGCUGGUGGAAAGUCUUUUCGGUGGAGGGUGUGGUCGCGGCCGAUCAGCUUGUUGGUGGGGUAAUGGGCUAAGAAGGCUUCGACGGGUAGGCGGCCCGGGAGGGGGACCGGCCACACUGGGACCGAGACACGGGCCAGACGGCUACGAGAGGCAGCGGUGGGGAAUAUUGGAAAAUGGGCGCAAUCCUGAGACAGCUACGCCACGUGAGGGAUGACGGGGAUCGGGUUGUAAACCUCUUACAGUACCGACGAAGCGCCCUGUGGGGUAGUGACGGUAGGUACAGAAGAAGGACCGGCCAACUACGUG
rnacentral:rRNA from 1 species